rnacentral:lncRNA from 1 species
AGUCGCCCGAAGCUCUGAAAGCUAAGGUGGCGGAAGCAAUGGAGGUUUUAAGAAGUGUCGCUCAGCAGUCUGGCAAUGCAGCUGAUCAAUUGGCUUCACUAUCCUUGACUGACAAUCUUGAUUCCUAAUCUGAAUGUUGCAAACCCCUUCUGUUUUUUCAUGAGCCGCAAACCUUUUUACUUGGUGCUUUUUAUUGACUUUGAGAUGGGAAGUUCAACUAUUUUUGUUCGGACCGAGUGAUUUUUAUUACUGGCAAUGAUUGUGGGAACCUAUGCUUAAGUUUUGUUGUGAC